CCAGAGCAGGUUCAGGCCAGGGAGUCAAAGUCCACGGCAGGCCGGGGCUUCCGCCAGUAGCAGAAACUGCUGUAUUCAGGGUUGGCCAGGUCUGCACAGGCUCCACGAGCCACAGGCGGGAAGAGGAGCUCCACGACCUCGCUGAGCCGCUCGUACCUGUGGGCAGAACAGAGCCUGAGCAGGGCCAGGCCUCGGCACCCACCUCGGGAAGUGGGGACUCAGGAUCCUGCCGGGGAGGAGUGGCCACCUUGGUGGCCUGGAGCACUCACCACCUUCUCCCGGGACCGCAGGACGCCCAGCUUGCCAAACCUCACGUGGAAGGGUGAGCACCGGAAGGAGCCGUCGACCUGCUUCACCACCAGCACAUCGAUGCCGCCACUCAGCGUGGCGGGGUUCAGCCCCCGAUACAGCUCCUUCAUCGUCCCAAACACUGUCCCGGCCAGCUGCCCCACGUAGUUCAUGACUGGUGCUGGCAGAGAGGCAGUGCCACGGACCAAGGUCCCUUCGUGGGGAGGCUUCUACAGCGGACCGCCCAGAUGCCCACGCUCACUUGGUGUCCUGCCUCAGAGCAGGAGAACCUCUGCACAGAGGGACAGCUGGGGAUGGGAGCCGCUCCCUGGCUGGCCCACCAACCUGCUGUGGGAUCCCUGGACGGCUGGCUCCUUUCUCAACUGCCGAUCUCCACAUCUGUUAAAAACAAGGGCACAGAGUAAGACAAUACCUGGGUGCCGGUGCUUCUAAAUGCCAUGACUCACGAUAAUGACCAUGGGCUCAGUGGGCAUGGCUCACUCCAUCUUCACAACAACCCUGUGCGGCUGGCAGAGCGGGUGUUAUUACUCCUGUUUACAGAUGAGCCACAGGAAGAUCAGAGAGGUGGAGUGACUUGUCCAGGGUCUCACACCUAGUAAGGAGAGGACCUGGGUUCGAGCCUCAUCAUAAACCGCCGGACUGAUCCAGCUGUGAAAACCGAACAGGAUGGGCAAUGGGGGCAGCCUCAUAAUAAAUCAGGCCCAGGGCCCUGCUGGGUGAUGGCAGCCAUUUUAAGGGAAGUGGGGAGGAGAGGGUCUCUGUUUAUCUAAGAAAUGGGUUCAUCUGUCUUGCUGCCUCCUGGUCCUGGGAGUUGGAAGGGGCAUUUUUUUUGGCCAUUGUGGCUGUCUUGUUGGGGACCAGGGAUAGGAACACCUCAGGGACCUAAGACUUCUUAGCCUUGUUCCUGGGACCAGAUACCCAAGGCAGGGUCUCCCCUGUAGCUGGGGACUUAAGGCCACAAAUCCCAAAUUCCUUCCCACUUCCCGGGUGGGAUGCCUGUUCAUGGCCCACCCUGCAGUGCAGGCCCAUGCCUGACCCCAGGGUCUCCAGACUGUAGUUCUCAGCCCCCAGCUGCAGACCAGGACUUGAUCAGAUAGGCCCUCAGACCCACAUUCAGGCUCUGGGCCAAAGCUUGCUCCCUCCCCCAGCCAGACCGGUCCCUCCAGCUCUCCCACAUCAGGCAGGGCUGGGUGAAGCAGCAGCAGAAGCGGAAGGCUGGAGGAAUAGUGGAGAAAAGCCAGGGCUAUAAUGAGAGCCACCUCCAAGCUGGCAUGGUGUCCACUCUAGCAGAGUCAGCUCAGUAGCCCUGCCUUGCUGGCCAGGCCAAUGACCGCUGCCUGCAUCUGGAUGUCAGGACCCAGACUGUCCCACCUUCACAGCGCAUCUGCCUCUCUUAGACCCGGUACCACAACCACACAAGACCACCCCUCGAAGAAGCUGGGUGAUUUAUCCUAGCUCUAUUAAGCCCAUGGGGCAUAGAUUUUUUUUUUUUUUAAAUGUGUGUGUCUGUAAUGACUCAUAUCCAGAUCUCCUAACUCCAUACCAUGGGCUCCUUCCAGUCCUUGGUCCCAAAACUAUACCACAGUUGUCUGGCGAGGGCAACCCAGCCCACAGCAACCUUUGCACAGUCUUGUGAUGCCCUGAACUAAAAAUGUGGUCCACAGACUGGCGGCAUCAUCGUCACCUGGGCACUUGUUUGGAAUAUAAAAACCCAGGCUCAGCUCAUCUCUCCUAAUUUUCCAUUUACAUUUUAAUAAGAUCCCCAGGCAGUGCCUGUACCCUUUAGUGUUGGAGAACUGGAACUAUCUUAGUAUGCACAGUCCACAGCCUACUCUUGGAAGAGUUUGAAUGACAGGAUCCCCCACAGACAGCAUUUCUCAGGUAAUGCUGCUGUCCUGCCUGUCCUGGGAUGGCAGACCAAGCAGUGGAUUCCUUCAAUAUAUGUCAGAACUUCACAAAUACGAGGCCUGAUUGGAACUGCUAAAACCAAAAAUGGAAUAAAAUGAAACUCUUUGGAUCCCUAA